UGCCAGACUCCUACGGGAGGCAGCAGUGGGGAAUAUUGCACAAUGGGGGAAACCCUGAAGCAGCAACGCCGCGUGGAGGAUGAAGAUUUUCGGAUUGUAAACUCCUUUUGUUAGAGAAGAUAAUGACGGUAUCUAACGAAUAAGCACCGGCUAACUCCGUGCCAGCAGCCGCGGUAAUACGGAGGAUGCGAGCGUUAUCCGGAUUUAUUGGGUUUAAAGGGUGCGUAGGCGGACUGUUAAGUCAGCGGUAAAAGCCCGGGGCUCAACCCCGGCGAGCCGUUGAAACUGGCUGUCUUGAGAUGUCGAGAGGUAUGCGGAAUGCGCAGUGUAGCGGUGAAAUGCUUAGAUAUUGCGCAGAACUCCGAUUGCGAAGGCAGCAUACCGGCGGCGAUCUGACGCUGAGGCACGAAAGCGUGGGUAUCGAACAGGAUUAGAUACCCCCGUA
rnacentral:rRNA from 1 species